rnacentral:rRNA from 1 species
GAUUCUGGCUCAGGAUGAACGCUGGCGGCGUGCUUAACACAUGCAAGUCGAACGGAGUUUAGAGAGCUUGCUCUUAAACUUAGUGGCGGACGGGUGAGUAACGCGUGGGUAACCUGCCUUUCACUGGGGGAUAACAGUUAGAAAUGACUGCUAAUACCGCAUAAGCGCACGGGACGGCAUCGUCCAGUGCGAAAAACUCCGGUGGUGAAAGAUGGACCCGCGUCUGAUUAGCCAGUUGGCAGGGUAACGGCCUACCAAAGCGACGAUCAGUAGCCGGCCUGAGAGGGUGAACGGCCACAUUGGGACUGAGACACGGCCCAAACUCCUACGGGAGGCAGCAGUGGGGAAUAUUGCACAAUGGGGGAAACCCUGAUGCCAGCGACGCCGCGUGAGUGAAGAAGUAUCUCGGUAUGUAAAGCUCUAUCAGCAGGGAAGAAAAUGACGGUACCUGACUAAGAAGCCCCGGCUAACUACGUGCCAGCCGCGGC